GUUAUAGAGAGUUUGAUUCUGGCUCAGAACAAACGCUGGCGGCGUGCCUAACACAUGCAAGUCGUACGUGAAAGUCCCGCAAGGGAUGAGUAAAGUGGCGAACGGGUGAGUAAUACAUAGGUAAUCUACUUAUAAGUUCGGGAUAACAGUUCGAAAGGACUGCUAAUACCGGAUAACGUACCGUGUCACAAGAUGCGGUACCAAAGGUGGCCUCUUCACAAUGCUAUCGAUUAUAAAUGAGCCUAUGGACCAUUAGUUAGUUGGCAGGGUAAUGGCCUACCAAGACAAAGAUGGUUAGCUGGUCUGAGAGGAUGAUCAGCCACACUGGAACUGAAACACGGUCCAGACUCCUACGGGAGGCAGCAGUGGGGAAUAUUGCGCAAUGGGGGAAACCCUGACGCAGCAACGCCGUGUGAGCGAUGAAGGCCUUCGGGUUGUAAAGC
rnacentral:rRNA from 1 species